rnacentral:misc_RNA from 1 species
CCAACUUAUUCCCAACCAUUCACCUUUAGUUAAUUGAACCAAAAUAAACCAAAUUAGCACAUCUAAAAUAGUAAAUUUAAAAGAUAAUUGAAUAUACUUGGUUCGGUUACUCAGUUUAACUGAAUUAAUAGAAAAAAUAUAAUUUAUAUAUAUUAUUUGAUAUCAAUGUAUAAAUUAUUAUUAAAAAUAAAAAUAUCAUUAAAUAUUUUAAUACGAAUAAUUACAAAUAAUAUAUAUUAAUAAUUGUUGUGCAGCACGGAAAUGCGUAAAUUACAAAGAAAGCAAACACACAAAACAUCAAUAUUUACGUGGUUCACCCACUCAA